rnacentral:rRNA from 1 species
ACGCGAGCUGGGUUCAGAACGUCGUGAGACAGUUCGGUCCCUAUCCGUCGCAGGCGUAGGAAAUUUGAGAAGACCUGUCCUUAGUACGAGAGGACCGGGAUGGACGUACCUCUGGUGUACCAGUUGUUCUGCCAAGGGCAUGGCUGGGUAGCUAUGUACGGAAUGGAUAAGCGCUGAAAGCAUCUAAGCGCGAAGCCAACUUCAAGAUAAGAUUUCCCACCGCAAGGGUAAGACUCCAGAAAGACUAUCUGGUUGAUAGGUCGAAGGUGUAAGUGCAGCAAUGUAUUUAGCUUAUCGAUACUAAUAGGUCGAGGACUUGACCAA